AACCCUUUUCUAUUUAUCAGCUUAGAAAGUCGCUGAGGGAGGGAGUCUCUGGGCUAAUCUAUCUUUCCAACUUCCCCCACGCCUUCCCCUCUCCUCCCCGAGGGCAACUCAUGUCUAGCGACCUGAUUCUGACUGGUGAAUGGAGGAGAUAUAUCCAUUGUAUUCAAUGAUCGAGCUAGCUGGCAUAGCGGCGGGUAAUUUAAGAAAUUAAAAGGAGUUGUCUGGCUUUUUGUUUGUCCCCCUUUCCCCCCCUCCCCGCCCGCUCCCGUCAAAAAGAAAUGGAAAGGAAAAGGAAAGAAAAAGAUAAGAAAAAGAAACGAAGAAACAGGUGACUAUCAAAGAGUAAAAAUAGAACCCGACUACGCGGUAGUUAACCCACUAGUUAGGACCCAGCGCGCUGGGGGGAGCGGAUAUAUCAGCAUCCAAGUACCUUUUAGAAGCUCCCAAACCCCCAACCACGACCACGACCUAUCUAUCCCGGCUACAUUCCCGGAAACUAUUUAUUCUAUUUUAUAAGCGAGCGCAAAAACUCCCGAAUCAUCCUUCGAACUAUCGAAUGCUAGUUGCUGCGUGCUAUCAUGAUGUUAGAGCUGAGGUGCUGUCCACAUGGU
rnacentral:sRNA from 1 species